rnacentral:rRNA from 1 species
GACGAACCGAGCGAACGUUAUUCGGAAUCACUGGGCUUAAAGGGCGCGUAGGCGGGCCAUCAAGUCAGGGGUGAAAGCCCCCAGCUCAACUGGGGAAGUGCCUUUGAUACUGGUGGUCUCGAGGGGGAUAGGGGCAUGCGGAACUUCCGGUGGAGCGGUGAAAUGCGUAGAUAUCGGAAGGAACGACCGGUGGCGAAAGCGGCGUGCUGGAUCCCUUCUGACGCUGAGGCGCGAAAGCCCAGGGGAGCGAACGGG